rnacentral:piRNA from 1 species
UAAAACUCAAAAAGCAAGCUC